rnacentral:rRNA from 1 species
CACGGGGGGGGCAAGCGUUGUUCGGAAUUACUGGGCGUAAAGGGCUCGUAGGCGGCCAACUAAGUCAGACGUGAAAUCCCUCGGCUUAACCGGGGAACUGCAUCUGAUACUGGAUGGCUUGAGUUCGGGAGAGGGAUGCGGAAUUCCAGGUGUAGCGGUGAAAUGCGUAGAUAUCUGGAGGAACACCGGUGGCGAAGGCGGCAUCCUGGACCGACACUGACGCUGAGGAGCGAAAGCCAGGGGAGCAAACGGG